CCCUGCCCCAUUCCUCCUCCUUUCUCUCCGCUCCCUCCGUCCUCCCUCCCCUCGCCGUCUCUCGCUCGAGUGAAUGUGGCGCGGCGGCGCGGGACGCAGUCUCGGCCCCUGCCGCGGCCCCGCAAGCUCGUGAGGAGACGGAGCUGCCUCCUGCUCCCGCCCCCUGCGCGUCUCGGGGAGCCACCGCCGCUGGCGAAGGAGAACAAGCAGGGCAGCGGAGGGACGGUGGCGGGAAAACGGGAGAGGGAGGAGAAGAGGGUUCGAGGGCGAGUAGGGAAAGCGGGGAGGGACGGACGGAAGGACGGACGGCCCGACGGACGGCCCGGGGAGGGGGCCGCUAUUGAGCCUGCCCGACUCCUCGGCUCCGGCUCCGGGUGGCGGCGGCAGCGGCGUCGCGGACGAAGGGCGCGGCAAGCGCUAUCGAGACAAUAACCCUGCCGCCCGGCUCUGGGGGCAACGGAGAGGAAGCGGUGGCGGCCUAGCGCGGCCGAGGCUCGCCGAGCGCCCGGGCAGCGUCCUCGCCCCCGCCGGCCGGGUGCUGCUGCCGUCCGGUGUGCCGGGCGCGCCGGUUGCCCGGAACCCGAGGCUCCCGGCGGCCGUCCCCUCCCCUCCCCCUCUCCGGUGCGCGCGGAGCUGGUUUUCCGGGUUCCCCUGGACGGAGCUGGAUCCUGCUUCUCGCCAAGGCAGGAAGUGAGUUUCGCACUGCAAUUCCGGGCGGUGUCACGAGUGAAAAGUUUUGUUUUUUUUUUUUUCGGCGGAGAUCCUCGUUGGGGCUGGGAAACUCCUGCAAAACUCGAGACCAGGAAGCCAGCCCGCACCCCAACCCCCACCAAAGCCACCUACUCUUCUUCUGUGGGAGGCCAGUCCACAUCCGCUCUCACCCGAGAGAGAUAUUCAGCUGGAUCCAAAGUGACUGAUGAAGGGAAGGAAAUCAUGUCAAGCGAAGCCUUGAAAAAGCUGCCCUGAGACGGUGUCCCGCCGAAAGAAUGUUGGCUCAAUUAAGAAACAUCAGGGAGAUAAAUUCAACCCAGUGUGUCUAAAAAUGACUACAAAACGAAGUUUGUUUGUGCGGUUGGUACCAUGUCGCUGUCUACGAGGGGAAGAGGAGACUGUCACUACUCUUGAUUAUUCUCAUUGCAGCUUAGAACAAGUUCCGAAAGAGAUUUUUACUUUUGAAAAAACCUUGGAGGAACUCUAUUUAGAUGCUAAUCAGAUUGAAGAGCUUCCAAAGCAACUUUUUAACUGUCAGUCUUUACACAAACUGAGUUUGCCAGACAAUGAUUUAACAACGUUACCAGCAUCCAUUGCAAACCUUAUUAAUCUCAGGGAACUGGAUGUCAGCAAGAAUGGAAUACAGGAGUU
rnacentral:lncRNA from 1 species